rnacentral:tRNA from 1 species
GGGCGUAUAGCUCAGUGGUAGAGCACUACUCUUAUAAAGUAGCGGUCCUUGGUUCGAAUCCAAGUGCGCCCA